GCAAACUUGGUCAUUUAGAGGAAGUAAAAGUCGUAACAAGGUUUCCGUAGGUGAACCUGCGGAAGGAUCAUUAUUGAAUAAACUUGGUUAGAUUGUCUGCUGGCUUUUACAAAAGCAUGUGCACGUCUAAUCCAUUUUUUAAUUCCCUGUGCAUCUUGUGUAGGCCUGUAACAUUCGAGUCUGUCAUGGCUCGGUUUAAAAAUUGCUGUAUAUUCUAAUACAGAAAGCCAGCUUUUUCUUCUAUCAGGUCUAUAUCCUCAAUAUAUAACACCUAUAAAACUGUUGGUGAAUUAUAUAUAAAAAGCAAUACAACUUUCAACAACGGAUCUCUUGGCUCUCGCAUCGAUGAAGAACGCAGC
rnacentral:misc_RNA from 1 species